rnacentral:rRNA from 1 species
GACGAACGCUGGCGGCACGCUUAACACAUGCAAGUCGAACGGUGAAGAGAAGCUUGCUUCUUGGAUCAGUGGCGGACGGGUGAGUAACACGUGAGCAACCUGCCUUUAAGAGGGGGAUAACGUUCGGAAACGAACGCUAAUACCGCAUAACAUAUGGGAUUCGCAUGUUUUCCAUAUCAAAGAUUUAUCGCUUAGAGAUGGGCUCGCGUCUGAUUAGCUAGUUGGUGAGGUAACGGCUCACCAAGGCGACGAUCAGUAGCCGGACUGAGAGGUUGAACGGCCACAUUGGGACUGAGACACGGCCCAG